rnacentral:rRNA from 1 species
GACGAACGCUGGCGGCGUGCCUAAUACAUGCAAGUAGAACGCACAGUAUAUACCGUAGCUUGCUACACCAUAGACUGUGAGUUGCGAACGGGUGAGUAACGCGUAGGUAACCUGCCUGGUAGCGGGGGAUAACUAUUGGAAACGAUAGCUAAUACCGCAUAAUAUUAAUUAUUGCAUGAUAAUUGAUUGAAAGAUGCAACUGCAUCACUACCAGAUGGACCUGCGUUGUAUUAGCUAGUAGGUGAGGUAACGGCUCACCAAGGCAACGAUACAUAGCCGACCUGAGAGGGUGAUCGGCCACACUGGGACUGAGACACGGCCCAGACUCCUACGGGAGGCAGCAGUAGGGAAUCUUCGGCAAUGGACGGAAGUCUGACCGAGCAACGCCGCGUGAGUGAAGAAGGUUUUCGGAUCGUAAAGCUCUGUUGUAAGAGAAGAACGAGUGUGAGAGUGGAAAGUUCACACUGCGACGGUAUCUUACCAGAAAGGGACGGCUAACUACGUGCCAGCAGCCGCGGUAAUACGUAGGUGGCAAGCGUUAUCCGGAUUUAUUGGGCGUAAAGAGAGUGCAGGCGGUUUCCUAAGUCUGAUGUGAAAGCCUUCGGCUUAACCGGAGAAGUGCAUCGGAAACUGGAUAACUUGAGUGCAGAAGAGGGUAGUGGAACUCCAUGUGUAGCGGUGGAAUGCGUAGAUAUAUGGAAGAACACCAGUGGCGAAGGCGGCUACCUGGUCUGCAACUGACGCUGAGACUCGAAAGCAUGGGUAGCGAACAGG